rnacentral:tRNA from 1 species
GGGUUUGUAGUGCUAAUGGUAACACACCUGCCUUGCAAGCAGGAAUUAGGGGUUCGAUUCCCCUCAGAUCCACCA